UUGUAUACCAUGGAUGGCUAUGAAGCUACAAAGAUAGUUUUAUCAAGAAUUCAAAGUUUGGAUCCAGAAAAUGCUUCAAAAAUUAUGGGGUAUAUACUGAUACAAGAUCAAGGGGAGAAGGAGAUGAUAAGAUUAGCUUUUGGUCCAGAAACCCUUUUGGUUUCUUUGAUAAAUCAAGCUAAAACUUGUUUAGGAAUUUCAUCAAACAAUUCAUCUGCAAUGUCAAAAUUGAAUCUUUUUCAUCAAUCUUCACCAAG
rnacentral:misc_RNA from 1 species